rnacentral:rRNA from 1 species
UAUCGGAUUGAUACUAAGCCAUGCGAGUCAUUGCAGUAAUGCAAGGCAGACGGCUCAGUAACGCGUAGUCAACCUACCCUAUGGACGGGAAUAACCUCGGGAAACUGAGUAUAAUGCCCGAUAGAACACUAUUCCUGGAAUGGUUUGUGUUCCAAAUGAUUUAUCGCCGUAGGAUGGGACUGCGGCCUAUCAGUUUGUUGGUGAGGUAAUGGCCCACCAAGACUAUUACAGGUACGGGCUCUGAGAGGAGUAGCCCGGAGAUGGGUACUGAGACACGGACCCAGGCCCUAUGGGGCGCAGCAGGCGAGAAAACUUUGCAAUGUGCGAAAGCACGACAAGGUUAAUCCGAGUGGUUUGUGCUAAACGAACCUUUUGACAGUCCUAGAAACACUGUUGAAUAAGGGGUGGGCAAGUUCUGGUGUCAGCCGCCGCGGUAAAACCAGCACCUCAAGUGGUCAGGAUGAUUAUUGGGCCUAAAGCAUCCGUAGCCGGCUCUGUAAGUUUUCGGUUAAAUCUGUACGCUCAACGUACAGGCUGCCGGGAAUACUGCAGAGCUAGGGAGUGGGAGGGGUAGACGGUACUCGGUAGGAAGGGGUAAAAUCCUUUGAUCUAUUGAUGACCACCUGUGGCGAAGGCGGUCUACCAGAACACGUCCGACGGUGAGGGAUGAAAGCUGGGGGAGCAAACCGGAUUAGAUACCCGGGUAGUCCCAGCUGUAAACUAUGCAAACUCAGUGAUGCAUUGGCUUGUGGCCAAUGCAGUGCUGCAGGGAAGCCGUUAAGUUUGCCGCCUGGGAAGUACGUACGCAAGUAUGAAACUUAAAGGAAUUGGCGGGGGAGCACCACAAGGGGUGAAGCCUGCGGUUCAAUUGGAUUC